UCUUGGUCUGGACAAAGCGAUUGACGCAC
rnacentral:sRNA from 1 species